UACGUAGGAGGCAAGCGUUUGUCCGGAAUUAUUGGGCGUAAAGCGCGCGCAGGCGGUCCUUUAAGUCUGAUGUGAAAGCCCACGGCUCAACCGUGGAGGGUCAUUGGAAACUGGGGGACUUGAGUACAGAAGAGGAAAGCGGAAUUCCACGUGUAGCGGUGAAAUGCGUAGAGAUGUGGAGGAACACCAGUGGCGAAGGCGGCUUUCUGGUCUGUAACUGACGCUGAGGCGCGAAAGCGUGGGGAGCAAACAGG
rnacentral:rRNA from 1 species